UACGUAGGUGGCAAGCGUUGUCCGGAUUUACUGGGCGUAAAGAGCGCGCAGGCGGUCGUUCAAGUCGCCGUGUGAAAGCCCCCGGCUCAACUGGGGAGGGUCACGCGAUACUGAUCGACUCGAAGGCAGGAGAGGGAAGUGGAAUUCCCCGGUGUAGUGGGUGAAAUGCGUAGAUAUCGGGAGGAACACCAGUGGCGAAGGCGACUUCCUGGCCUGUUCUUGACGCUGAGGCGCGAAAGCUAGGGGAGCAAACGGG
rnacentral:rRNA from 1 species